rnacentral:rRNA from 1 species
UACGGGGGGGGCAAGCGUUGUUCGGAAUUACUGGGCGUAAAGGGCUCGUAGGCGGCCAACUAAGUCCGACGUGAAAUCCCCAGGCUUAACCGAGGAACUGCGUCCGAUACUGAAAGGCUUGAAUCCGGGAGAGGGAUGUGGAAUUCCAGGUGUAGCGGUGAAAUGCGUAGAUAUCUGGAGGAACACCGGUGGCGAAGGCGGCAUCCUGGACCGGCAUUGACGCUGAGGCGCGAAAGCUAGGGGAGCAAACGGG